AUUGAACGCUGGCGGCAGGCUUAACACAUGCAAGUCGAACGAGUGGCGGACGGGUGAGUAAUGUUUGGGAAUCUAGCUUAUGGAGGGGGAUAACUACGGGAAACUGUAGCUACUACCGCGUACCAUAGGAUGAGCCCAAGUGGGAUUAGGUAGUUGGUGAGGUAAAGGCUCACCAAGGCGACGAUCUCUAGCUGGUCUGAGAGGAUGACCAGCCACACUGGGACUGAGACACGGCCCAGACUCCUACGGGAGGCAGCAGUGGGGAAUAUUGCGCAAUGGGGGAAACCUGACGCAGCCAUGCCGCGUGUAUGAAGAAGGCCUUCGGGUUGUAAAGUUCUUUCGGUAGCGAAGCGUUAACUGCAGAAGAAGCACCGGCUAACUCCGUGCCAGCAGCCGCGGUAAUUC
rnacentral:rRNA from 1 species